rnacentral:rRNA from 1 species
GGCCUAACACAUGCAAGUCGAGGGGUAGAGUUCUUCGGAGCUUGAGACCGGCGCACGGGUGCGUAACGCGUAUGCAAUCUACCUUUUACAGAGGGAUAGCCCAGAGAAAUUUGGAUUAAUACCUCAUAGUAUACAGACUCGGCAUCGAGAUUGUAUUAAAGUCACAACGGUAAAAGAUGAGCAUGCGUCCCAUUAGCUAGUUGGUAAGGUAACGGCUUACCAAGGCUACGAUGGGUAGGGGUCCUGAGAGGGAGGUCCCCCACACUGGUACUGAGACACGGACCAGACUCCUACGGGAGGCAGCAGUGAGGAAUAUUGGACAAUGGGCGCAAGCCUGAUCCAGCCAUGCCGCGUGCAGGAUGACGGUCCUAUGGAUUGUAAACUGCUUUUAUACGAGAAGAAACACUGCUUCGUGAAGCAGCUUGACGGUAUCGUAAGAAUAAGGAUCGG